AAGUAUUGUAAUUUUAAGAAAACUAUAAGGGUAACCUAGUAAUUGUAAAUAGUAGUGGCAAAAUGGUACUUUUAACGGAAAUCCUAAACAGAUAAGGACUCGCAAGGGCAAGAUAAUUUACUUUUAGCGUCUUCCAUCCCUGAAACGCCAGAGGAAAGAGCCAACAUUUUAUGGAUAUCAGAGCAUCCAGUCAGAGAGUUACCGAGGAGCUAAUAAGAGAGUUGCUCAUUGCAAUCUCUUAUCCUGUGCCUGAUAAGAUUCUUGAUUUUAACCUGUCCUUGGAAGAAUUCGGUAGUGUGGAUGGGUUUGUGGAGUCGAGCGACGACCUAAUCGAACAGUAUCGGUCUGAACUGAUUUCCAUUUCUUAUCUGCAAUCUACUGAUGCCAAAUACUGAGUAGUUGCAAUGGACAUCAUGAUGUUCAGCUACAGUGUAUUUCUUAUGGAAUACUUGUAAUUCUGUAAGUUCUAAUAAUUUCUGCUGGUGGAUUUCGUGUUCUUGAACUUCCAUUACAUGAAUAAAUUGAGAGUCUAUGACUCCAAGUCAAUUUACUUUA